CAGCCGGGUAAUUCCAGCUCCAAUAGCGUAUAUUAAAGUUGUUGCAGUUAAAAAGCUCGUAGUUGAAUUUCGGGAUCAAAUUGUUGGUCGUGCCUCGGUACGCACUGGUAUUAUUGGUUCCUACCUUCUGAAGAACCGCGAUGUCAUUAAUUUGGUGUCGUGGGGAAUCAGGACUGUUACUUUGAAAAAAUUAGAGUGUUUAAAGCAGGCUUACGCUUGAAUACAUUAGCAUGGAAUAAUGAAAUAGGACGUUUGAUUCUAUUUUGUUGGUUUCUAGGAUUGACGUAAUGAUUAAUAGGGAUAGUUGGGGGCAUUAGUAUUCAAUUGUCAGAGGUGAAAUUCUUGGAUUUAUUGAAGACUAACUACUGCGAAAGCAUUUGCCAAGGAUGUUUUCAUUAAUCAAGAACGAAAGUUAGGGGAUCGAAGACGAUCAGAUACCGUCGUAGUCUUAACCAUAAACUAUGCCGACUAGGGAUCGGAUGAUGUUAAUUUUUUAAUGACUCAUUCGGCGCCUUACG
rnacentral:misc_RNA from 1 species